AGGGCACGUUCAGGGUCCCACCCUGCCCGCUGCCACCGUGCUGGGGGCCACGCCGGGACUACGUGGGCUAAAGAGGGGCUGCCCAGCAUGGUCCCCCUGCGGGCACAGUGGGGCAGUGGACAUGGUGAUGGUCACCCACCAAGUGGUCCUACUCUACCUGUGUUAUUGCAUUUAUACGCUUGUUCGACUCAAAGGACGCUGGGUAAGGCAGGCGGGGCCCUCUCCAGGGGCACCUUUGGGGGCAGACACAGCUGGGGGCAGGUCCUUGAUACCCCCUCCCUGCC